ensembl:lncRNA
GCCUUUCAACUUUCUCCACCAACAGGGUCAGCCCUGUCCCCUGGCCUCCACUGAAGUUAGCCUGACACGCUGGAAGCCUCGAAACAAAUUAAAUGAGGCAAGGAGGCCAUGCAGUGAACAUUCCAUUAUGGCCCCUCUGCUCCCUUCCACGAGUGACUCACACAAUCACUUUUAGGAGGUGAGGCAUCUUAUUCAAUCAACACUUAAUCUCCGUGCCUUGUCUUGGAGGAGGGAGAAAGGACGGUGGGUGCAUUAUCCCUGAUCCUUCUAUUUUCCGAGACCCUCACUGGAGAUGUCUGCUGGUGGUGGGGGUGGGGAGAAUUGUGGGGAACCUUGACCCUGUUCCAGGUAAGCUUCUGAUUUACAGUUCAUUGUGCUUUCUAACAAAUAAUUUUUAUAUAAUAAUUCCACCAGUGAGCACCAAACCUUCUUCUUGGGAAUGCAAUUAAGGGAAAAAUUAGCAAUAAAUUGUUUUCAGUACUUAACCCAGCUCCAAAUUUAUGGUUGCUGCAAUUUAUUGUUUCAGAGGCCUGAAAAAUGGCAAUGAAUUUUGUCCCAUUGGCUGUCAUUCACCCUCGAAGUGGAAAUGUAAAUAAAGAAUCGUUCAGGGCCUUGGGUUUUCCGGAUCCUUACUAAAUCUCACAACCUUAAGCCCCUCCGGCCAGUUCCCACGACGGAUCCCCCAGCCUUAGAAACAGAGCGAAAAGCUCCCGGUCUGCAGGCAGGCGGCUCCUCUCCUUCUGCGGCCCCACGCGCCGCCCCAAGCAGGACGCGCGGCGCGGAAUGAGUGUAAAUGAGAAAACACUAACUUCGCUCCUGACGGCGCCGAUGCAGGAUGACGGCUGCUAGUGUCAACUCCGACAGAUUUAUAGCCCAUUCAUUCAUGGGAACAAAAACCCUGCCACGGCUGGUCAUGGGACACGCAAUAGCAGUUAGUUCAGAAGAUAACAGCGGCAAUACCUCACCUCUCCAUUCAGGACUACAGAGCCGGCACCACUUUGGAGGUAAUAAAUGCUUCUUCUUGGGCGAUUGGAGUCGUAAUCCAGAAAUCGCUGUGGUGAGCCUCCCCCCACCCCCGGCUCCGCCUCCAAGGGAACUAGCUUAUCCCCACCGUACCCCAGCCUUAACUCCAGCCCUGCGUCUGCCCCGCAAGGGACUGGCAAGGGGCUGACGGCAGCCCCUCGUGGAACCAAAAAGGACACCCAGCCUCUUGCUUCCAGUCCACUCAACAUGGGCUGUGUCUAUUCUGUAGGACUCGAGCAAUACUGCAAAGCCGAGAAGGCUGACUCCUUGCUCGUGGUGAGUGGCAAUGCAGGCGUACACAUUUACUCCAGUCUGCCAGAUGCCCUCUGAGGCCCCCAGCUUGGGCACACAUCACCUCCUUUUAUCCUCUCUCAAGCAGCAAAUAAGA